GACGAACGCUGGCGGCGUGCUUAACACAUGCAAGUCGAACGGAAAGGCCCUGCUUUUGUGGGGUGCUCGAGUGGCGAACGGGUGAGUAACACGUGAGUAACCUGCCCUUGACUUUGGGAUAACUUCAGGAAACUGGGGCUAAUACCGGAUAGGAGCUCCUGCUGCAUGGUGGGGGUUGGAAAGUUUCGGCGGUUGGGGAUGGACUCGCGGCUUAUCAGCUUGUUGGUGGGGUAGUGGCUUACCAAGGCUUUGACGGGUAGCCGGCCUGAGAGGGUGACCGGCAACAUGGGAACUAGGAUACGGCCCGGACUCCAACGGGAGGAAGAGGGGGGGAAUAUUGCACAAGGGGCGAAGGCCGGAGGCAGCAACGCCGCGGGGGGGAUGACGGCCUUCGGGUUGAAAACCGCUUUCGCCUGUGACGAAGCGUGGGUGACGGUAAUGGUUAAGGAGGCACCGGCUAACUACGG
rnacentral:rRNA from 1 species